UACGUAGGGGGCAAGCGUUGUCCGGAAUCAUUGGGCGUAAAGAGCGCGUAGGCGGCCCAGUAAGUCCGCUCUGAAGGUCAGAGGCUCAACCUCUGAAUGCGGGUGGAUACUGCUGGGCUAGAGUCCGGAAGAGGCGAGUGGAAUUCCUGGUGUAGCGGUGAAAUGCGCAGAUAUCAGGAGGAACACCGAUGGCGAAGGCAGCUCGCUGGGACGGUACUGACGCUGAGGCGCGAAAGCGUGGGGAGCGAACAGG
rnacentral:rRNA from 1 species